UACGUAGGGUGCAAGCGUUGUCCGGAAUUAUUGGGCGUAAAGAGCUCGUAGGCGGUCUGUCGCGUCGGCUGUGAAAACCCGAGGCUCAACCUCGGGCCUGCAGUCGAUACGGGCAGACUAGAGUUCGGUAGGGGAGUCUGGAAUUCCUGGUGUAGCGGUGAAAUGCGUAGAUAUUCGCAAGAACACCAGUGGCGAAGGCGGCUCACUGGCCCGAUACUGACGCUGAGGCACGAAAGCGUGGGGAGCAAACAGG
rnacentral:rRNA from 1 species